rnacentral:lncRNA from 1 species
AGGAUUUGGUUGAGGAUUGAGGAUUUGUUUAGGAUUUGGUUUAGGAUUUAAGAUUUGUCUAAAGAUUGAUUUAGGAUUUGAUUAAGGAUUUAUGAUUUUUCUAGGAUUUGAUUUAGGAUUUGAUUUAGAGUUAAGGAUUUGUCUAGAUUUGAAUAAGGAUUUAGAGUUUCUGUAAAGUUUGGUUUAAGGUUUAGGAUUUGUCAAAAAAUUGAUUGAUGUUCAUUAAGGUUUUAAUUAGGAUUAAAUAAGAACUUAGUUGAGAUUUAUUAAAAAUAAAUUUGUGAUUAUUCUAAUAUUUUUUAGUAU